AAUUCUCAGCCCAACUAAUCCAGCAGCUCAUUUUUCGCUGUAUACGAACUGAAAAGGCCAGCGAAAUAUGGUUUAAAGUGCAAGGCCACUUAGCCAGGUUUGGCCUGCAAGAGUAUGCUCUUGUCACGGGUUUAAUGUGUGGUCCUCUUCCAGAUGACGCCGCGAUGGACCGAGUUCUACAAAAGAAGAGGUUGAAGAAUAAAUACUUCAAAUCAACGGACAGGAUUUCGUGUGGCGAACUUGAGAAGGC
rnacentral:lncRNA from 1 species